CUACAAAUGAACAUCUCCAGCGCUGAGUAUUGAGAGCUUUAUUUGUAAUGGAGAUCAGUGAACAUGUGUUUCAAGAAGGGACUGUUAAGAGAGCGCAUUUGAGGUAGAAAAGCAUGGAUUGAGUAUUUUAGAUAUGCAGAAAGGAGAUACAAAAAAAAGCUCUGAUCAAAGGGCAGGACAAAUCAGAGAAGUAAAGAGUGGGGACAGUCUUCAAGAUCUCCAAGAACCACACUCUGA